UUGUAAACGUACUGAGAGCAAAGAAACAUGCAAAGACAAGGAAGCCACCACAGGCAGAAUCAUCAGUACGGGAAGGAGAGAAUUCUCACACAGGAAAGCAAUAUCAGGCAAUGAGGGGAGAAAGACAGAAGGUAAGGACGAAUUCUGGGGGUGCAGUGAGGUAUAAGUCAUGGAGACCUUCUUUACAGAGUAUCUCAGAGUCAGGGAGCUCGACAGUGAAAAACUGCGAUAUUCAAAGUGGCUCACACAACAAUAGCAUUUGAUUUUGAAUGAACGGCCUCUGUAUCAGCACCAGAUUGUCCUUCUCCUACUACCUGGGCACCGCAAGAUUUCUGUUUCAUCAUAACCAUGCUCCACAAUAACGUAAUUUGUAUAGCCCCAAGCAUUUAAAAAAAAAAAAAAAGGAAAAGUGA